GGGCGAGUAGCUCAGCUGGUAGAGCAGAUGACUCUUAAUCAUCGGGUCCACGGUUCGAAUCCGUGCUCGCCCACCA
rnacentral:tRNA from 1 species